rnacentral:misc_RNA from 1 species
GUAGGUGAACCUGCGGAAGGAUCAUUACCAAUAUGAAAGCGGGUGGGGAACCACGGGAACACGGGCUUCGGCUCGCGUUUCUGCCCCGUCUUGCUGAAUAUUCACCCAUGUCUUUUGCGUACUAUUUGUUUCCUUGGUGGGCUUGCCCACCGAUAGGACAAUAUCAAACCUUUUGUAAUUGCAAUCAGCGUCAGAAAAACUUUAAUAGUUACAACUUUCAACAACGGAUCUCUUGGUUCUG